rnacentral:rRNA from 1 species
CCCCUAGAUGUUCUGGGCCGCACGCGCGCUACACUGAACAGUUCAACAAGUCUUAACCUUGGCCGAUAGGUCUGGGUAAUCUUUGAACGCUGUUCGUGAUUGGGAUAGACCUUUGCAAUUAUGGGUCUUCAACGAGGAAUUCCUAGUAAACGCAAGUCAUCAGCUUGCAUUGAUUACGUCCCUGCCCUUUGUACACACCGCCCGUCGCUACUACCGAUUGAAUGGUUUAGUGAGAUCUUCGGAUUGGAGCCCUCGGGAGCAGCGAUGCUUCCUUGGGAAUUCGAGAAGUUGCUCUAACUGAAUUAUUUAGAGGAAGUAAAAGUCGUAACA